rnacentral:rRNA from 1 species
UACGAAGGGUGCAAGCGUUAAUCGGAAUUACUGGGCGUAAAGCGUGCGUAGGCGGCUAUGUAAGACAGAUGUGAAAUCCCUGGGCUUAACCUAGGAACUGCAUUUGUGACUGCAUUGCUAGAGUGUGGUAGAGGGAGAUGGAAUUCCGCAUGUAGCAGUGAAAUGCGUAGAUAUGCGGAGGAACACCAAUGGCGAAGGCAAUCUCCUGGACCUGCACUGACGCUCAUGCACGAAAGCGUGGGGAGCAAACAGG